rnacentral:misc_RNA from 1 species
GUUAUCCCCACGGACAGAUUUUUAGGCUUCAUAUACACAAUUGCAAAGUUCCACCAUAGUUUACAUCGCAUUUUCCAACUCCAUACCUCAUUAUCACAAAAGUCCUUUUUCAGUCAGUAUACAACGUCCGACUACCUGUUUGUUUAACCAAACUCCUCUCAGAGAUCUCGAUCGUCUUUCAAUCUAAUCUUGAUGCGGAGCCUGAACCGGAGGAGCAAAUCCUGCAUUUGCGGGCCGAGCAACCACAACCAUAUCAUCCGCAAACAGUGCUUUGAUAAAUGCAGGGGUCUUCAACGGUCGACGCCCAGUCAUCCUUGGAUAGACGUCUUCAAGGAAAAAGUAGGCAUGACCGGCUAUCAUUCCCAGGAGGUCCACCCAUGUACUGGUGCCCACGAGAAUUGAGAACCCCAGAAGAACCCAUGGAAGAUAGGCGGCUGUGAAUGUAAAUAAGCCCAAGAAACUCAUGUGGAUAA